GAAGGCAGCUGCAUUUCACAGCUGAGCCUCAGCACUCCUCUGCAUGGAGCAGAUUUGGGUCAUGCUGCCAUGCCUCAGUCGGACCUCACGCUUUCCGAAGCACUUGAGCCCCAAAACGUCCAGGAGACCUCGGACUGUGUCAUCCCCAAAGGGAAACCAGAGGAGGAAGCGGGCCUGCCAAGACAUGGACAAGAGACUGUGCAGGAAAGCUCGGCUCCUCAGGUGCGUCAGCGACCAUCAGAGCCCCAUGUGGAGGUGGUGCUCAGGGAAGCCGCUGAAGCUGGAUGAGGCACAUGGUAAAAAUGCAGAUAAAGCGGUGCUUUGGUUCUGGCCUCCUACAAGAAGCUCUCAGAGACCACCCAGGAGCUACAAGACUACCAUCCUCCUCCACACAGGCACACUGUGCUGCCCUACCGCUCACCCUUCCAGCACUGGGACAGGCACGCUCGCACCAGGAAGAGGGCAGUGCAGCCCCCUGGCCCGCAGCAAGAGUCCACAGCCCCUGUGGAAACACGCACACGAGGAACACAGACGCCUGCCCACUCUCUGUCAGCAGCUUUUGUGAUUGUGGCAGAAGAGGUGCCUCGUGAAGAUCUGGAGACACCCCAGCUGAAAAGGACACGUAGGGGAACAGCUGCAAGCAGCAGCUCAGCCAGAAAGAAGACCCAGCCUGGCAGCUGCAGAAAGGAGCAGGGCCCUGUGACACAAGGGGUGAUCCCGGUCCCUCCUUUUCCAUCCAGGAAGAGCAGACAGUGUCACAGAGUGAGGGAGCUCCUCAGGAGAAGGCAGGACAGGAGGAUGAGACCACCACCGUGCCCAGCGGGGGCAACAUGGGGGUCCUGUCACAAGGAGCUGUCACAAGGCAGGACAACUCCUUCUGGAAAUGUAUGUACACAAACAGAAGACUCUUGGAGUAAGGACACUCCUGUAGCUGUGCCACCAGCUCCAAACCCUGCAGGGACCAACUCGGAAGAGAUGCCCAGCUUGGAUGAGACACUCAAAGCUCUUAUGGACUCUUACAGGACCAGCACAAUGACUGAAAACCAGCAGAACCAGCUGCUGGCUUCCUGGUUGGAGCAGUCCCAGGACAAUGUGGGGCACUCAAGUUCAGAGCCAGCAGCACAGCAUCCCAUUACCACACUGUGCGGAGCACAGACAGCAAUGCAGAACGGUAGGGGACCCAGGCAGAACGGAGUCAGGCCCAGGAGGCUCUGCCCCAAGUGCAGCAAAGCCGCACGGCACAGGGCACAUGGCAGUGAAGGCACCUGGACUUCAGCUCCAGGCACAGGAGGAGAUGAGGCAGUGGGAGAGAAGCAUCUAUCUGGGGAAGGGGCCACAAGGGAGCAAGGCCAGAAUCAGACUGCUGAUGCUGCCCGGCAGCCAAAGGGGGUCCAUGUCUACAAAUACAUGGUAUGGAUCACUAGAGUGGAGCAGAGGACGCUUCUGUUUGAGCAGGCCCCUACCAGGACCCCACCAUCACAAGCACAGCGGCUGCCCAAACGUGAAUCAGCCACAGACAGGAGCCCAGUGCCAGAGAAACCAUCUCUGCCAAGCUGCUCCUACGUUUGUCUCAUCCCCAUCCUCCUUUGCCUACAGAGGGCAUGGGUCAAGCUCCUGGGUGCCGGCAAAGCCCUAUAUUCCAAAAUCAGGAAGAAGUGAAGUGAGGAGUCCCAAGGAAGAAGACCAACCGUGGACAGCCAAGCCUUGCCUUGGGAUAAGGACAUAACUCACAACUCCUGGGGAAAGGCUGCAACCAUCUCAGGAGGCAGUAGGGAAGGACUUUGUGGUAUUUGGGGCUGAGACUUUCUCAACAGGAGCAACAGGCAACAUCAAGACUUGGUGUCGGACACCCAUGGAGACAGCAAGGGACUGAAUCAGAGUGGGAGGAGCCCCGGGCACGUGGGGAUGCCAGCUCAAGUUGAUCAUGGUGAGCCAGUGCAUCUGCUCUUUGUUCAAAGUCCUCUUUGAACUUGGAGGUUCAAAGAGCUGCUACACGCUCUUUGACUCAGGCCCAGCCCCAGCCCUAUGUGACUUUACUCUUCUGCUUGAUUUCCAGGGGCAGCACCACCCAGUCAGGGACAUGGACCCAGCGAGCAGCAGAUCCCUGCCAGGACCACCAAGGAACAGGAGCUCUCCCAGUAAAAAAUUAAAUAAACAAAUACCUCUUAAAAUG
ensembl:lncRNA